rnacentral:rRNA from 1 species
CCCCUAGAUGUUCUGGGCCGCACGCGCGCUACACUGAACAGUUCAACAAGUCUUAACCUUGGCCGAUAGGUCUGGGUAAUCUUUGAACGCUGUUCGUGAUUGGGAUAGACCUUUGCAAUUAUGGGUCUUCAACGAGGAAUUCCUAGUAAACGCAAGUCAUCAGCUUGCAUUGAUUACGUCCCUGCCCUUUGUACACACUGCCCGUCGCACCUACCGAUUGAAUGGUCCGGUGAAAUCUCGGGACGGCGGCUCGGUCGCUUGCGUCCGACUGCUGAAACUUGAUUAAACCAUAUCAUUUAGAGGAAGGUGAAGUCGUAACA